AUGGAUAACGGUGAUGGAGGCCGCCGAGACGUUUUGACGUCUGAACCGCCGCUUUGUAGGCUAAUGGCUCCUGGUCGGAU
rnacentral:ncRNA from 2 species